rnacentral:tRNA from 1 species
GCCUGGGUGGCUCAGCAGUUGAGCAUCUGCCUUUGGCUCAGGAUGUGAUCCCGGGAUGUGGGAUCGAGUCCCACAUCGGGCU